rnacentral:lncRNA from 1 species
AAGCAGUGUAUCCUAUAUUAAAUACUUUAUAUCUAGAUGAAGAAGAUGGAUGUUAUCCAAUGGCAAGUACGCCCCAAAAGGAUGACAAGAAAUAAAUUAGUGUGCUCUGAAGUGUCCAAACGCCAAAGUAAACCUGGUCGAAAAAGGCUUCACAUAUCAACAGUUGACACAGGUUUGUUCUUAGUUUAUAAUACUGAGUAGUCUCUCUCAAUCUACAUAUUUUCGUAGUGAUAUAUCUAAUCUAGAAAUAGUCUUAGAUUAAAUUAAAUUUUGGAAUUCAAGGCAGCAUCUAGCACUAUAGUUCAAAGUACUAAUAAGUUCAUGAAGUUUCUCUUUCACACAACAGUAUGACCAGAAUUGGAGAAUAUAUAAUUAUAAAAUUAUGUUUAAUCAAUGUUGUAUCAGUACACUGUUGGCCAGUAAGCUAGGUUCGGUAUGCUUGGCUGCUCGCCCAGCACCCCCCCCCCCCCUAGAGAAAUCUUGCCGGAUCCACCACUGAACCUUUUAAGAAAUGAAUGUAUUUGAAGUAUUUGGAUUAUUCAAUGUUAAUGCAAUCUCAAAAGAAUCAAUUGUGAUUGGCUAAGAACUACAGACAAUCCUCAAUGUUUAUCCACCUAAAACAACAUUGAAAAUUGCCUGUUGGUGACAUGAUUUUUUAAUGAGACACCUGACAAGGUUUUCUUUCCUGCCAUUAUAACAUCAUCAUAAUUGCAUAUUAAAACAAUUAUUGAAUUUGGGUUUCGCAUGACAUCAAGACCGGUCAAUGUUAUCUGCCGAAGCCAAAGGUUGAGGUCUGGAUAAUUCUUGAUAUCAUGCUCAUCCUCGUCCAAUAUGUAAUUGUUGAAUGUUUUUACAAUUGUAUCCCAUUUUUGUUUUUGCAUCUUGCUCUCUCUAUUUUACAAAUAGAGCCUGACACAAACCUUGCUAUCCACUCAAGUAUAUUUUUGUAUAAAGUAUCAAAUCAAAAUGUCCAGGGAGAAAUGUCAAUUUCAUAUAAAAACAACAAUCUAAUUAAAGUUACAACUUGCUAAAUAUAUAAUAGUAGUAUCAUAUAAUUAGGAUUAACCAAUAUUAACAUAGUAUUAUAUAACUAGGAUUAUCCGAUCACAAAGAUAACAUUAAAUAUGGUCUGAUAUACUUGUGCUAGAAAUAGCCAGUCAGAGCUACAUUCAAUAUUUUGCACCUAUAUAAUAUGUCAGUUUGGAUAACUCCUGUUUUUUAAUUUCUGUAGAUAUACCUAAUUAAUCAACUCAAACAGAUGCCUUUGUUUUGGCAGCCAGUUGGGACCACAACAAUGAACAAUGAUAUCUUUUCAGCUUUUAGUUUAUGCCUGCAGGGGAUGAUGGGAAGUAAGGUAUCAUAGUGCUGAUUAUGCUGAAAAAUUUCAAUAACUACCGAAGCAACCAAAAUAUUUCAAUAUUUACAAGUAUAAGCUAUCACUCCAUGUUUACACGGCCACCAUUUUUAUUUUUUCAGCAUAAUCAGCACUGUGAUAACUUACUUCCUAUCAUCCCUGCACGCAUAAACUAAAAGCUGGAAUUGCCUAUUGUCUUGGUCUAAACUUCCAAUGUCCAAGUUCUAGUUUACAGCACCAUCCACUGAAAUUCUUUCUGGAGUUGUAGGCAAUCUUCCACUUUCAACAGUUUCUCAUCAACUUUUGGUAGCAACAGUAAUGGCAUCAUUGGAACAAUUUAUAUCAUUGCCAAAAGACACUUUGUAUUCUGUGUACAUUAGUUCAUACUAGAUUGACACAUCAUCCAUGGAAUUAUUCUGUAGAAUAAUUAAGAUAUUUGUAUGUUACCAUAGUCACUACUAUAGGUUCACCUGGCAAUUAUAAUGAUAAAUCUAAUUAAUUAUUGUUAUUUGUUGUUUUAAAAUUUCCAAAAUGAAAGUUUUGAACUCAUUUAUUGGGUCGUUCCAGAAAAGAUCCACACUCCCCUCACAGAGGAAAUUUUUGCAGUGGAGACAAAGUUGUUUCUGAUAAUAGGGGGGAGGGGGGGGGGUCCCUCUCUGGGGGUGGUAUGGAUGUUUUCUGGAAUGACCCAUUAGCUUUGCCAUGAUACAGUAUAAAGUACAUCAAAUAAACAGACAGACAGACAUAUAAAGUACAAGUGGCAGGGUUACCGCAACAGAAAUUAUACUCCCAAUAACUGUAGGCCACCUUUGAUAAUAUAAGCUACCAGAGUUCAGUGCAUGUAAACAUUUCACACAAACAUUACAAACCUUGGGUGGUAUAAAUGGCCAUUUAUUAUGCUACCAAGAAGGCAACAACCUUGCAACAACUAGGUUUAUCCAAGAGUUGCAAAUUAUAAAAAGUACACACUGUGCCAAAUCAAAUACAUAUACACUGGGGACACAGCAAUGAAUACAUACUUUAUAGUACAUAUACUUUGUAUUUUUAUUCAAUCAAAAAGAAUAUAUUUAAUAUUUACACACCGUCUCUAAUCGCAGAUUCGACAAUUGUUUCACUACGUGCAGCGUUUCACCCAGAGUGCAUAUGCUGUCAUUGAAUUUCAAGGAGCGAUGUUUAUUUAUAUAAAUUUUGAAACGUUUCUUCGGUCCAACAUCGUCAAAAAACUUCCUCGUUGUUCUCAAUGCACUUUGAGCAAACCAAUUCACCGCAAACUUUAGGUUUGCAUCCUGAAACGGCCUAUUUGUCGCCGUGAAUAAUUCAUGAGUAAUUCAAUAUUCUUAUGUCUGUAAUUGGACGCCAUUUUGGAAACAUUAUAUGGCAGAGCCUUACGUAGCUUCCGUCUUCCCAUCAUACCUUGCGUAAUUUGUCC